rnacentral:rRNA from 1 species
UUCUUUUUCCACCGGAGCUUGCUCCACCGGAAAAAGAGGAGUGGCGAACGGGUGAGUAACACGUGGGUAACCUGCCCAUCAGAAGGGGAUAACACUUGGAAACAGGUGCUAAUACCGUAUAACAAUCGAAACCGCAUGGUUUCGGUUUGAAAGGCGCUUUUGCGUCACUGAUGGAUGGACCCGCGGUGCAUUAGCUAGUUGGUGAGGUAACGGCUCACCAAGGCAACGAUGCAUAGCCGACCUGAGAGGGUGAUCGGCCACAUUGGGACUGAGACACGGCCCAAACUCCUACGGGAGGCAGCAGUAGGGAAUCUUCGGCAAUGGACGAAAGUCUGACCGAGCAACGCCGCGUGAGUGAAGAAGGUUUUCGGAUCGUAAAACUCUGUUGUUAGAGAAGAACAAGGAUGAGAGUAAAAUGUUCAUCCCUUGACGGUAUCUAACCAGAAAGCCACGGCUAACUACGUGCCAGCAGCCGCGGUAAUACGUAGGUGGCAAGCGUUGUCCGGAUUUAUUGGGCGUAAAGCGAGCGCAGGCGGUUUCUUAAGUCUGAUGUGAAAGCCCCCGGCUCAACCGGGGAGGGUCAUUGGAAACUGGGAAACUUGAGUGCAGAAGAGGAGAGUGGAAUUCCAUGUGUAGCGGUGAAAUGCGUAGAUAUAUGGAGGACACCAGUGGCGAAGGCGGCUCUCUG